UACCAGCUCUCCGAGUGGUAGGGAUGUUUAUUGGGCUUAAAGCGUCCGUAGCCGGCUUAGCAAGUCUCCUGUUAAAUUCAGCGACCUAAUCGUUGAGCCGCGGGAGAUACUACUAGGCUAGGAGGCGGGAGAGGUCAACGGUACUUCCGGGGUAGGGGUGAAAUCCUAUAAUCCCGGGAGGACCACCAGUGGCGAAGGCUGUUGACUAGAACGCGCUCGACGGUGAGGGACGAAAGCUGGGGGAGCGAACCGGAUUAGAUACCCGGGUAGUCCCAGCUGUAAACGAUGCAGGCUAGGUGUUUGGACGGCCACGUGCCGUUCUAGUGCCGCAGGGAAGCCGUUAAGCCUGCCGCCUGGGGAGUACGGCCGCAAGGCUGAAACUUAAGGAAUUGGCGGGGGAGCACCACAAGGGGUGAAGCUUGCGGUUU
rnacentral:rRNA from 1 species